UACAGAGGUCUCAAGCGUUUGUUCGGAUUCAUUGGGCGUAAAGGGUGCGUAGGUGGCGCCGUAAGUCAGGUGUGAAAUUUCGGAGCUUAACUCCGAAACUGCAUUUGAUACUGCGGUGCUUGAGUUCCGGAGAGGAAGGCAGAAUUCCCGGUGUAGCGGUGAAAUGCGUAGAUAUCGGGAGGAAUACCAGUGGCGAAGGCGGCCUUCUGGACGGAUACUGACGCUGAGGCGCGAAAGCCAGGGGAGCAAAGCGGG
rnacentral:rRNA from 1 species